rnacentral:lncRNA from 1 species
AAGGGUUGGAUGCUCCUGGCAUUUGCACCAGGACUGAAGAAAGGGAAAGACUGGAAUGUGAUGCAAUGACAACCAGUGCUGCUGCCAAUCCCAUGUGGUGUGGGAGGCAUGGAAGUGGGGGCUUGAAAUUGCAAUGGACCUACAAAAUUUUUCUGAAUUUUGAUAAGGGGGCAGAGCCUUUAUAGCCUAGCUUUGGAGCAGUCAUUCGACAAAUGAUGUGUCUGGUAAAGGCUAUGAUCUUUUGUGAGGUGACUUUCCUUAUCCAAGAGCCAUCUCUUAAGGGACUGUCAGCUGUAAGCUAUGAGAGGGCAACACUUCCUUCACCUUGGGAGCAUUAGUAUUUCAAUCUUGGAUGGGGGUGGGAGCUGGUAGCUCUGUACAGCCCCCGUUACAGAUCUUUGCCUGUUAGAGUCGUGUGAGGACAGCCAGGGGUGUGCAUUUGCCUGUAACUAUGCAUCAGGUGAAAACUUAGCUCCAUGAGAUCAUUCAAGGACCCAGACUCCUUCCAUUCCGUGGCUCUGCUCUCUUCAAGAUCCUCAGAACUUUUUCUUUCCCAUCAGCGGAAGGGAGCAAGUGGUCUUAAGGGGCAGGCCUGGACAUGUCUCCAAUCUCUUAUGCUUAUUUCAGCCAUAAAUCAGUUUCCUUGGCUCACCUGAGCUACAUAAGAGCAUCUGGAAAAUGUCUUCUAGCUGUUUGCCCAGGAAUGAAAGGAGAACAUAAAUAUUUGUGCUCACUAGUAUUCUCUACCUGCCGUAGAAGGAUUUCAGGCAGACUUAGGUUCAAAUAACAGUUCCAAUAUAAUUAGCUGUGCAUCAUGAGGCCAACUUUUCUGAGCUAAAUUUAGCUCAUCUGUAAAACGAUGACUAGCCCACCCUACUCAAUGGCUUGUUGGAACACUGAAAGGAGGUGAAAAAAAUAUCACAGAAAGUGUUCUCCUUUCUCUUUUCUUCUUUAAGCUCUCCCUCUGUACAUGGUCUUGCUAGUUUUCAGAGCUGCCCACCCCGAUGUGACGUUUGGUGGCAUAACAGAAUGUUAGCUGCUGUGGAGAGGAUUCCUAUUGAAGUGUUGGAUGGGCCUCAUUGACCUGGAAAGUCCUUCAACCCUGUCGGAACCUCUGAAAUAUUCAUUAAACACACACCAGGUUGAGUCAGAGUCAGACUGGGCAUUUGUACUGGAACCAGACGCGGGUUUGUGCUCAGACACCAUAGCUUUCCUUUCCUUCUGGAACUAAGUCUUCUCAGCAGAAUAUCGACAUCCAUAAAGCUUUCUGACUUGACUUUUCAUUUCUCUUCUUUGCAGAACUAUGCUUGUCUUGGCCUUUCAUCUCGACAUUUAACUGAGAAGAAUUUCAAUUGUUUGCAGUCAAUUCCAUGGUGCUUUUCCAAUUUCCCUUUGUUUUCUUUGGGAUUUUCAGGAAGCCUCAUGUGCCCUAUGUAAUUCAGUUAUGGUCAGAGGAGCCUGGUACCUCAAAGUCACAGAUGAUUUUUUAAAAAACAUUUCAACACCUGCAUAUUAGAAGCAGCAUUGGCUUAGGAAUCAAGAGGCCAGAGCCACGCGGCUGGCCCUCCAUUAAUUAGCUGUGUGACCUUCAGCAGGUAAUUUGUGCCUCUCUCAACUGAAUAAAGAGGGCCAUCUGGAUCAGUGUUUUAAAAACAUGUUUCUGGAAUGGUAGGGUUUCUUGGAGAUAUUUCCAGGACUCUGGGGGUGACAAAGGGAAACCUUUGCCCUCAUUGAGUCUGCUUUUCACUCAUAUAUUUGGAGGUCUAGUAAAGUCUCAUUGACAAAAAUUUUUUCACUGUUUUUUUUUAAAACAUCACUAAAUUCAGAUUAUAACUAAGGGUUGGUUGUACUUCUACUCUCAUUUAACACUGAUUUGACCAAUGAAAUGUUUUUUUUUUAAUUUUUUUUGUAAUGGAUUUUAAAAUGAGAAACUGACCAAAUCUUUGGUAUUAGAGGCAUUUAAAUCAGUUGCAGCAUAAAAAGACACUGAAGCGGUUUGAAUAGAAGCUCUACCUUUAAUAGCCCUCUGGUAAAAUAUUUAAAUUCUCUAGCUGUAAGUCAGUCCUUGUAAAAUGGGGGGAAAAUGUGCUUCCCUUGCAGGUUAUAAGUAUUAAAAAUUAAGCUAAUGCUGUGUAGUGCCAAGCAUAGUGAUGGCAAUUUUGUGCACACGUGGAUGGUUCUUGCUUCAUGCUCACACACACACAUGCUUCCCCAUCCAUGCCCAGUCAGCUCUUUUGUGAGCCCAGGUAUGCCUCCAGGAUCCUAUUAAAUAAGGUCAUAAGAGUAGAUCUCCCAUCCAAUAGCAUCAGUGCCCAGUACACCAGAGCUCCUCCUGCCUCCUUCUCUGCCAUGGGAGGACACAGUGAGAAGAUGGCUAAAGGCAAAAACCAGGAAGAGGGCCUUCAUCAGAAGAAUAAGGAGUUCCUGUCAUGGCUCAGCAGAAACGAAUCUGACUAGUAUCCAUGAGGACACAGGUUCGAUCCCUGGCCUUGCUCAGUGGCUUAAGGAUCUGGUGUUGCUGUGAGCUGUAUUGUAGGUCACAGAUGCAGCUCGGAUCCCGCCAUGUGCCUCAGGUGUGGCCCACAAAGACCAAAAAAAAAAAAGAA